rfam:Echinococcus multilocularis genomic scaffold, pathogen_EmW_scaffold_07
AAGAUCGUACUUCUAGGGAUCACUCCUAUAGUACGCAUCACCAGGACGCCAAUCAAUUCUGCUCCUGGCUACCCAACCGUGAUGACGACACGUGUCGUCCGUUGGACCGUCAGCGUGAUUAGGCUUCGGGCUGUCAGCGGU